UACGGAGGGUGCAAGCGUUAUCCGGAUUCACUGGGUUUAAAGGGUGCGUAGGAGGGCAGGUAAGUCAGUGGUGAAAUCUUCGAGCUUAACUCGGAAACUGCCGUUGAUACUAUCUGUCUUGAAUACCGUGGAGGUGAGCGGAAUAUGUCAUGUAGCGGUGAAAUGCUUAGAUAUGACAUAGAACACCAAUUGCGAAGGCAGCUCGCUACACGAAUAUUGACUCUGAGGCGCGAAAGUGUGGGGAGCGAACCGG
rnacentral:rRNA from 1 species